UCUUCUUUUUAUGGGUUUUUUCUUCUUCUGAUUAUCAAGUAUGAUUAUGGGUUUCUCUCUUUAUCUAACUUGAUUGUGCUAUGAUCGGAUUCUUGGAAUUUCUUUUCUUAUAUCGUGUGAUGUAUCUAUCCAGACUGAACAGAGAAAGAAAGUGGGGGGUUUUUAUGUUUAAUUUUGUACUUGGGUAAUUUUAUCUGACUUUUUUUUUUUUUUUUUUUUUUUUUUUUUUUUUUUUUUUUUUUUUUAGCUUAACCUUAGUUCACUUAUUUUGUUAUAAAUAUAGGAUGAUCUUAAUUCAGCAAUUUGUUGUUUAGACUUUGUUAUGUAAGAGUAGGAGAUUGAUCCCUUCUGCAUUUAGGAUUUUGUUUUUUUGUAGCUAGUGCACUUGUUGUGUAUCUUUUAAUUUUGGGGCAUGUUUUAAUCUUUUUGGAUUUAUGAGUAUACUUGUGUAAAUUUUCUGUGAUGGGAUCUGGUUUCUGCAUUUUUUGGGUUUUCCUUUCAUGGGUUUCCCUUGCUAUUUAGUUGUAUGUGGUGUUCAAUUAUCAUCAGUGCUGAAAGGAUUUUUGCCUGUCUUUCGUGUG
rnacentral:lncRNA from 1 species